rnacentral:rRNA from 1 species
GACGAACGCUGGCGGCGUGCUUAACACAUGCAAGUCGAACGGAAAGGCCCUGCUUUUGUGGGGUGCUCGAGUGGCGAACGGGUGAGUAACACGGGAGUAACCUGCCCUUGACUUUGGGAUAACUUCAGGAAACUGGGGCUAAUACCGGAUAGGAGCUCCUGCUGCAUGGUGGGGGUUGGAGAGUGUCGGCGGUUGGGGAUGGACUCGCGGCUUAUCAGCUUGUUGGGGGGGUAGUGGCUUACCAAGGCUUUGACGGGUAGCCGGCCUGAGAGGGUGACCGGCCACAUUGGGACUGAGAUACGGACCAGAAUCCUACGGGAGGCAGCGGUGGGGAAUAUUGCACAAUGGGCGGGCGCGUGAUGCAGCAACGCCGCGUGCGGGAUGACGGCCUUCGGGUUGUAAACCGCUUUCGCCUGUGACGAAGCGUGAGUGACGGUAAUGGGUAAAGAAGCACCGGCUAACUACGUG